UGGAGCAUGUGGUUAAUUCGACGCAACGCGAAGAACCUUACCAGGGCUUGACAUCCCCUGACCGCGUAUGAAAGUACGUUUUCACCCUCGGGUGACAGGGAGACAGGUGGUGCAUGGUUGUCGUCAGCUCGUGUCGUGAGAUGUUGGGUUAAGUCCCGCAACGAGCGCAACCCCUACGUUUAGUUGCUAACGCGUGAAGGCGAGCACUCUAGACGAACUGCCGUUGACAAAACGGAGGAAGGUGGGGAUGACGUCAAAUCAUCAUGCCCCUUAUGUUCUGGGCUACACACGUGCUACAAUGGCCGGUACAGACGGACGCAAAGCCGCCCCGAGGCGGAGCAAAUCCGAAAAAGCCGGUCUCAGUUCGGAUUGCAGGCUGCAAUUCGCCUGCAUGAAGUCGGAAUCGCUAGUAAUCGCAGGUCAGCAUACUGCGGUGAAUACGUUCCCGGGCCUU
rnacentral:rRNA from 1 species